rnacentral:rRNA from 1 species
UGGGGAAUAUUGCACAAUGGAGGGAACUCUGAUGCAGCGACGCCGCGUGAACGAAGAAGGCUUUCGAGUCGUAAAGUUCUUUUAUAUGGGAAGAUAAUGACGGUACCAUAAGAAAAAGCCCCGGCUAACUACGUGCCAGCAGCCGCGGUAAUACGUAGGGGGCUAGCGUUGUCCGGAAUAACUGGGCGUAAAGGGUUCGCAGGCGGAAAUGCAAGUCAGGUGUAAAAGGCAGUAGCUUAACUACUGUAAGCAUUUGAAACUGCAUAACUUGAGAAGAGUAGAGGUAAGUGGAAUUUUUAGUGUAGCGGUGAAAUGCGUAGAUAUUAAAAAGAAUACCGGUGGCGAAGGCGACUUACUGGGCUCAUUCUGACGCUGAGGAACGAAAGCGUGGGUAGCAAGCAGG